rnacentral:tRNA from 1 species
UGGCCGGUGAAUUACUAAAUCGUCCGCUUGGCAUGCGGAAGGUCGCGGGUUCAAAUCCCGCCCGGUCCA